rnacentral:ncRNA from 1 species
UUGAGCCGUGUGCGGUGAAAGUCGCACGCACGGUUCUUAGAAGAGGAGGAGGGAGUAAUCCCUUCCCCUUAUUCGAU